UGAAUACGAGAUGCUACGGCGUCGAAGCAGUCUAUGUCAUACUUCCAAGAAAUGCUCGCACUGUCAUAAACAAAUAAUGCCUGUACCAUAACCGACACAGGUGGGUAGGUAGAGUAUACUAAGGGGCGCGAGAUAACUCUCUCUAAGGAACUCGGCAAAAUGACUCCGUAACUUCGGGAGAAGGAGUGCCUUAUUUAUAAGGUUGCAAUAACAAGAUCCAAGCAACUGUUUAUCAAAAACACAGGUCUCCGCUAAGUCGUAAGACGAUGUAUGGGGGCUGACGCCUGCCCAGUGCCAGAAGGUUAAAGAAGUUGGUUAGCAUUCGCGGAGCUGAUAACUGAAGCCCUGGUGAACGGCGGCCGUAACCAUAACGGUCCUAAGGUAGCGAAAUUCCUUGUCGGGUAAGUUCCGACCCGCACGAAAGGCGUAAUGAUUUGGAUACUGUCUCGGAGAGGGGCUCGGUGAAAUAGACUUGUCUGUGAAGAUGCGGACUACCUGCACCAGGACAGAAAGACCCUAUGAAGCUUUACUGUAACUUGAGAUUGAAAUUGGACUUUACUUGCGCAGUAUAGGUGGGAGGCGUUGAUAAUAUUCUUGCGGGAUUAUUUGAGCCAUCAGUGAGAUACCACUCUUGUAAUGUUAGAUUUCUAACUUUGUAUCAUUAUCUGGUCAAAGGACAGUUUCAGGCGGGCAGUUUGACUGGGGCGGUCGCCUCCUAAACGGUAACGGAGGCGCACAAAGGUUUCCUCUGAACGGGUAGAAAUCGUAUCUAGAGUGUAAAGGCAUAAGGAAGCUUGACUGUGAGACCUACAAGUCGAGCAGGGACGAAAGUCGGUCUUAGUGAUCUGACGGUGCUGAGUGGAAAGGCCGUCACUCAACGGAUAAAAGUUACUCUAAGGAUAACAGGCUGAUCUCCCCCAAGAGUUCACAUCGACGGGGAGGUUUGGCACCUCGAUGUCGGCUCAUCGCAUCCUGGGGCGGUAGUACGUCCCAAGGGUUGGGCUGUUCGCCCAUGAAAGCGGUACGCGAGCUGGGUUCAGAACGUCGUGAGACAGUUCGGUCCAUAUCCGGUGUAGGCGUUAGAAUAUUGAGAGGAGCCUUCUUUAGUACGAGAGACCGAGAAGGACAUACCUCUGGUGUACCAGUUAUCGUGCCAACGGUAAACGCUGGGUAGCUAUGUAUGGAGUGGAUAACCGCUGAAAGCAUCUAAGUGGGAAGCCCACCUCAAGAUAAG
rnacentral:rRNA from 1 species